ensembl:lncRNA
CCUCACUAAGGACCGUAUGCUGACGGACUUCCCUGGGCCUGCUACCUGAGACCUGCUGCUUCCUCCCGGGCUUACUCUGCGGCUUCUUCCUGGACCCACCCGGUACCUGCACCCUCUCGUUGCCCAAGACCGGCCUCGCUGCUCCUGCCCUUCGGCCUCGGACCAUCGGAACGUCGUGCAACGGGACUACUGUCGGAUCCUGAUGGAAGUACAGGAGGGAAAAGCUCCAUGCUUUCAGUGAAAAUGCAUUAUAGAAGUCCAUGGACACCAGCUGCGUGGUCUCCAGACGAACUUGCAGUUGCAAGAUGAGGUCAAAAAUGUCUAGUAACCUCUGGUACAAGCAUCCUUUGUGACUUAAAAUCAAUGAAGUACUGGAAAUAACAAAAAUGUCCCUUGCCUCAAUCCCUUUCUAUCAGGUACUGAAGAUUUAAUACAGACUUAUGGGGAAAUAAAACCAGACGUUGUAAAGUUUGAAUAGUGAAAAAGAAACAUCACACAAACAGGGCACCAGAAUGGAUUUGUUCCAAGUAUUUUGCCCAGACUUCAAGGAUCAUGGAUGUACCCAGGUGGGCUGGCCAGGAUUUCUUAUUGUGGCUAUAGAGGUUGUUGGCAUCAUGGAGGCACUUGGUGGUAUAAUGGAUCUGUUACUUGGCAUACAACUGAAGCUCCUUUUGGACGAGGACAGUGCAUCCUCAGCCAGCAUACCUCAGGCACCUUGGCUACUAAGAAGCAUCCAGUUCAUGGGACAAAAGUAGCUUUGGAGUUAACAGUGUCUGGAAAAUAUCAACAUCAGGACCUCAGUACCACCUGUUGAGCUCUGCUAACGCACUUCUGCUAUGCAGCAUGACCUGAUAGCUGUAAAAGCAGUGAACUGUCUCCCAGCAGUUGCUGUUAUACUUCCUGAAAAAUACACAUCUGAUUAAACUGCCAGCAGUGCUGCUCUGCGAGACAAAGAAAAUUGUUCAUAAUAAUAAUCUUAGCUUGGUUAUCUGCAUUACCUGAAAUUUGGGUCUAUAUUUCUGUGAUUCUGUGAUUUCCUAAGUCUUACUACAAGAAUUUAGGGGUCGUGAUAACUGGUUUAAGAGUAGCAAAUCCAUUAAUAUUUCAACACUUCUAUUUGUAGAAGAGGAACUCAUUUCUCACUGGGAUAAGGUAGAUUAAAUCUAGAUAAUGUGUUUGUAAAUACAGUACUAGAAAUACUGUGAAAAACAAUCCAGAAGCACAGAAGAAUAAAGAAACAAAAAUUUUCAAAUAUCUGAGUGGCUGUUAGUAAGUAUAAUUGUAAAAUGCAUGCAAUUGUUAUAGCCUUCUAGUUAUUCAAACUGUUAGGCAGCUCUGUCAUACAAAUAAGAAAAUCAACAUAUCUAUUGGGUCAUUAAGGUAAUGCCUUCUUAGGGUAUAAUUCUCUCUACAAAGUGCUGUCUAGGUAUGUAUAUAGUCCUAUUUUAAAUGGCUAAGGAAAAGGUCUUACAGAUAUAACACCAGGACAUUGUUUUAUAAUUGAAAACAUAUCAUUCUGAGAUUGCUUUACAAGUGAUUGGCACUCUUCUGAAUAUAUUUAUAACGCACUUCUGGAAAAAACAAACAACCAUACCGAAAUUAGAUCCCGAGGAAGCUAAUUUUCUUUCCCAGUUGCUGUAGUACAUCUGUCAUUCUUCUCACUAUUGCUACAGCAUUGUCAUUCUCAGACAUAUAUCUCAUAAAAGCUUAUCCUUAGCUCUGUAUUUUUAUUCUCUUAACUGUCUCCACAUAAAACCCUUGUGUCCAGUGUGUAUGUGCUUUGAGUAUGGACUCAGUUGCAUGAGAUAUCAACAGAUGUAUUACAAGUGCUGAAGAUAUGGAAGAAGUAUGAUUUUGCUCUACUGAAAGCAUUUUUUCCUGUCCACCUCAUAGAGAAAAUGCAGCUAUUGUUUGGAUUGCUGAGAUGGACCAAGGGAUUAUUAGAGGAUAUCUUGCUGAGCAGAAGCUGGAUUUUGCAUACCUUGGCAGAAGCAUUUGAAAUCUCCUGGAAUUAAAAUAUCUUAGGGAGGGUGCUAGAGGUCAGUGUUGAACAAAUACCACUCUCAUACAAGUGACCUCAUGCAGUAAUUACUCUGAUACAGUCCUACCAGUCUGUUAGGGGUCUCACUUCUAGCUUUCCAGUUUGCAUUUGGGGAGUCAUGACAUUCUCUUAUCUUAAGCACGAAUAAAUUCUUCUGAAAGAUCUGGAAGCUAAAAAUUCUGCUGCAUUAUUCUCCAUGUUCCUCAGCAUUUUUCUAAAUCCUGCUAAAACAGCUAUUGAACCACAAGUAGGAAGAUUACAAAAAUUAUGCUGGUUUUGCAGCUUGGUAUGGGCUGGAUUCAAAGAAAUACACUGACUUAGAUGAGUCUCUGAUGGGCAAGAGAGACAAAUAUAUUUCAACAAAAUACCUCAUAAAGUGGUUGAAUUACUUAAAAAUCUAAAAUUCCGAAUAGAGCUUCCUAGUCUGUGCUGGUGCAUUUCUAUCUUGCACUACAGAAAAAAAAAAAAAAAAAAAAAAAAAAAAAAAAAAAAAAAAAAAAAAAAAAAAAAAAAAAAAGGUUAUAUGACUGCUACCAAAGUGUACUUGCAAAGUAAGCAAAGUUUGUUAUUGUCAAACAUAAGAGUGCUGUGAGUGCCCUGGUCUCAAUUACAACCAGAAAUCCUGGAGUACACAGUAGAUAUUUCAGUUUUCCUGAUUCUGCAUUUGUACAGAGUUGGCACAGUACUGGCAGCAGGGCAGCAGGGAUCCUGGUGAAGGUGAGGCUAGAAGGAAACUGUUAAUUUUUGUCUUUGUGUCUCAUCUUCCUACUCUAUUUUACUUAACAGUGAAUUAAACUGUUAGGGUUUUGCCUGUGAUGGUAAUUGCUAAGUGUCUCUAUAUUGACCAAUGAGCUUUUUCAUCCUAUUUUCUCCUCAUGUCCUGUUGAGGAGGGAGGAAUGAGAGAGAAGCUGAGAGUGGGGGCUGGCAGCUGACUAAGGUCUACCCACCACAGCAUCACAGGUGAUCACACAAGAUCUUGGUAAUUUCACGUGAAUUAGGAGUUCAGGUCCAGGUAUUCUACCCUCCACAUGCUUGAUGGCUAACUGAUGCUUCCAUGGAAAAUUUAAGAGCUUAAUGCGAUAAGUAGUUGAAGUUAAACAGGAGGUGAAGGCUAGACUGUUCAAGGACAAGAUUCACUCUAACUUAAGAGCAUUCAGCUCCCUUAUGUACAUUAUGAAGGUUCAGGAUUUUUUUUUUUUUUAAUUCAUUUAAACUUAAAGAAAAAAAAAAUGAAAUCCCCUGAAGGCACAAAACAGAAUUCUUCAGUGAAAUGAAAUCUCAUGCUACCUGCUGUUACAGACUAAUUGCUCACAAUCAAUGAACUCUUAUCCUUUUCAUUUUAAAAUUAUUAGUGUUGCUUUGGUUAUUAGUGUAAUUUAGUGUUAUCCUUUCUUCUUUCCAAAUUAAAAUGCACCAUGAUAUGCUCAAAAAAGAAUAAGACAUUUAAUUAUUUUUCCAAGAAAAACAUUUAAUUUAAAUUUAUACUCAAUCCUCUAGUAGAAUACAUCAAUGCUAUCAUAAAAAUGUAGUGUUGGUGUGUGAGCAAAAUAUCUGAAAACUGCUGGAGGUAUAUGGUUAAAAUGUUUGGCUGAUGGUAAUUUGAUCCAGGAAGAAUUCAUCAGUCUCUCACAGUCCUCAUGUUUUCUCCUCUCACUCCCCAUACCUUACCUUAGUUAAUGGUCUGGUUUCUGAGUGUCCUAUUUAAUGAUACUUCCCCUCUCCAGCUCAACUUUUCUUUUGCUAACCCAUUCCCUACUUCUGCUUGAUGCCACUUCCUUAGACAUCUGGCCUCUGAAUCUUAUUUAGCAAAUAAGGUGAGUAUUCCAUAGUCAGUUACCCAGUUUCUGCCCACUUUUGCUUUGCCAUAUCACAAUAAUAGAUAGAUAGGUGAUAGAUAAACAAACAGAUAGAUUAAACUCCUUCAGACUCCUGAAAAACAAGGCAUCUUCAGUCUUUCAGCUAAAAUUAUCAUACUGCUGAUUUAUCAUUUUCAAAUAAGUUUAUAAUAUCACUAGAGAUAAUACUGUUCCCUGUUUAUGUAUAUGAUUUGGGAUGGUCUUCAGGACUCUUUUGGAUAUGACUACUUAGAUUUCAUAAAACAUGUAUCUGCUGAUUUUGUUGGAUAUUCAAAAUAUUUGAUUUGUCUAAAAUUUUAGAAUUUAAAAUUGCUUGUUACUCUUCCAUUGCAUAUUUUUAAAAUAUGCCAGUAUUAAUUUUCAACUUUGGAUUUUGAUUUUAUGCUAAUCUUCAUAUAUUAAUAGUCUACUGCAUCCAAGCUUGGGAAUUCCAGCACCAGAAAGAUGUGGAGUUUUGGAGCAGAGGCUUAGAACACCUCUCCAACAAAGAAAGGCUGAGGAAGCUGGACUUGUUCAGCUUGGAGAAGAGAAGAUUCUGGGGAAACCUCACUGCAGCCUUCCAGUACUUAAAGGGAGCUUAUAGACAGAGGGGAGACUUGCUUUUUACCAGGGCAGAUAAUGACAGGACAAGGAGAGAAUGGUUAAAAAAUAUAUGAAGUUAGAUUUAGGUUAGACACUAGGAGGAUAUCUUCAUUCAGAGGAUGGUGAUGUGCUGGAACAGACUUCCUGGAGAAGUUGUGGAUGCCCCAUCCCUAGAGGUGUUCAAAACCAAGUUGGAUGGGGCUCUGGGCAGCCUGGCUUCAUGGGUGGUACCCCUUCCCGUGGCAGGGGAGUAGAAACUAGAUGAUCUAGAAGGUCCUUUUCAACCCAAUCCAUUCUGUAAUUCUAUUAUCAUAUGAUUGAUAUUGUUAUUUAAUAUGAGGCUUGUUUUGCAACUUUGUUUCAUUAACGUUAUCCCAUAAUGCUUCCUACCAUAAAACAUCUUCAUUCUUUCAUUUCAGUCUUAGUUGUUUUAUCAUGGAGAGCAGCCAGUCUUUAUGAAAGUCAAACAUCAUUACAGUAAAUUCUAAUUAGUUUCUCCUUCAAUUUUCACAAGAAUGAACCUCAUUCAUUUUCAUUGUGACUGAAUGUAACAUUCCUAUGUGGUCCUUCAGGAUAUAGUGUUUCCGAGUAUGAGAUUAAUUAUGCUGGGACUUUUCUUGAUCUUGACCUAUAAAUUGCUUCCAGAUCAGCCUUCAGAUAUUUAAUUCUGAACCUUCUUGGUUUUGCUUAUAUGUACAUCUAAUUUGCAACCUCUGGAUCACUGUCAAAAUGUUGAACUUCCUGUUACAGUAAUUGUAACUCCCUCUUGUUACCAUUUCUUCCACAUCUGUGUUUUAUAAAAUCUAAGGCAGUGAAGCACUUAAGAUCCAAGUGAUGAAAUAAUAUUUCACCAAUACCAUGACCCUGUACAAAACCCUAUAUUUAUGCAGUUUCAAUUAUGCAUUUGGAUAGUUACUGAAUUUUCUCUACAAUACAGAGAGUAGCUAUAAAUUGUCUCAAAGAAGCUGGAAAGGAAUCAAAAAAACUUUGUUUCAUAGAAUAAAAUGGUUAAGUUUGCUCAGAGCUCCAUAAAGAGGAAAUAUGACGAACCUGAAAUGUUGUCUGCCUCAUGUUUGGGCCAGCAUCUCUAUUUCAGUAUUCAUCUCAUGAUUUGUUUCCAUACUGUCUGAAUCACUGCUCUUUGACAAUGAUAUCAAGGUGAGACUAAUGACGUGAAGAGAACAGGUUAUAUAAAGCCUUUUACAUACAAAAUUCAAUUUAUCUGUUUUCAAAUAUCUUUAUUUCUUUAGCCUAAAUAUUUUUUAUCUUAAUUGAAUUAGAUAUAUGGUUGAGAAGUGAUCUUUCAGUGACCGAUAAGGAUUUCUUCACUAGUAAAAGAGACAAAAAAUAUUUUCCAAAAUGCUGAGAAAAGGAAGACAUGAUUAGAUUAUGUGCGAAGCUCAGGUGAAAUUAAAAAAGGGUACUGACUAGGUCAUUAACCAUAAUGAGAUUUUAUAGGAAAUUGGAGGAGUGUACAUUAUCUGCAGUCCAGUUGUUUCUCAGCAAAGAUGAAGGAAAACAAACAUUCACCCAGGAAACCAUAUCUUCUUAUUCUUUUGCUCUCAGGAUAGCAAAAGCAUACCUGUUACAAUUAAAAGAAGAUAUCAGAAUUGCCAGGAGAAAGAACUCACUGUUCUUUUAAUUUUACAAUGAUUGCAGGUAAAGUUUGAUCCUUCAAUCUAGAUUUAAAUGUCAUUUGGGAGAGAUUUACAUGUUCUGUACUAUUUGUUCAAAAGUUCUUUAGGGAGUUGUCAUUAAAAGAGCAACCAAGAAUCACAAGUGAUAAAGCAAGAAAGAGACAAGGCAUGAUACUUUUCUUUACUACAAAAAAGAAUGUCUGUAUUUCGAAAUCUACUUAUCCUAAUGCUAGUAUGUCUCAUUUUUUUUUAUUUUUAUUUUUAACUUGUAGUAACUGGUCUUAGGCCUCCCAGAUUUCUAUGUCUAACUUGAGGGACAGAGAUACUAUCCAUAGUGACUAUUUAAUCCAAACAGAUAGGCACAUGUCCAUGGGAUGCAUCUUAGGGUCUUGAGGGACCUGUUCAGUGCUAUUCCGAGGCCUUCCUGUAUGAACUUCGAAAGUACUGUGACUAGAUUUUUUCCUGAUGACUGGAAAAAGGUAUCUUCAGAGAGAAGAAAGGGAAGGAUCUUGGGAAGAAUGGAGCAGUCAACUUCCUCAUGAUUCCUUGGAAUAUUAUGGAGAAAGUCCUCAAAAGCCAGUUCAGGACACAUGAAGGCCAAGGUAAUUUGGAACAACCAGCACAAGUUUAGCCAGAGCAAAUCAUGCCAUACCAAUGGUUAGGAAGUGUGUGAUAGAUGAGUGGACAUUGAGGUAGACUGUGAACCGGCUGACUUGCAGAGCUCAGAAGGUUGCAAUCAGCAGUGCAGAGUCUACUUGGAGAUCUGCAGCUAGAACUGUUCCCUAGGGUCUGGUUCUGGAUCUGGUCUUGUUCAACAUCUUCAUCAAUGAUCUGGAUGAAAGGAUAAAGUGCAUGCUCAGCAAGUUUGCUGAUAUUACAAAACUGGAAGGAUUGGCUGACAUGCCAGAAGGCAGCGCUAACAUUCUGAGAGACCAGGAGAAUCUGGAGAGCUGGAGAGGGAGGAACCUUAUGAAGUUUAACAAGAGCAAGUGUAGAGUCUUGCAUAUGGGGAGGAAUAACCACAUGCAUCAGUACAGGUUAGGGGAUGACCUCCUGGAGAAGGAGCUCUGUGGAGAAGGACCUGAGUGUUCUGAUGGACAACAGGUUGGUCAUGAGCCAGCAGAGUGCCCCUGUUGUCAAGAAGGCCAAUGAUAUUCUGGUGUGCAUUAAAAAGAACAUGGCCAGCAGGUCAAGGGAGGUGAUCCUCCCCUCUAUUCUGCCCUGAUGAGGCCAUAUUUAGACUACUGUGCCAGUUUUGGGAUCCCCAGUUCUAAAAAGACGGGGAUCUCCUUGGAGGAGGCCAGUGGAGGACCAUAAAGAUGAUAAAGGGCCUGGAGCAUUUCCCAUAUGAGGAAAGGCUGAGUAACCUGGGUCUUCUGUUCAACCAGAAGAGGAGACUGAGAAGGGAUCUUACCAAUGCUUAUAAUUAUGUAAAAGACCGGAGUCGUAUGGAUUGGGCUAGGCUCUUUGCAGUGAUUCCAAGACAGAAAAAGGGGUAAUGGGUACAAACGAGAACAAAGGAAGUUCUGUAUAAACAUGGGGAAAAUACUUCUUUACUGUGAGUGUGACAGAGCGGUGGAACAAGUUUCCUACAGGGGUUAAACUUCCUAUAGGGAACCUGCUUAAGCAGGGGAGUUAGAUUAGAUGAUUUCUUCAGGUCCCUUCAAACCCCUAUGAUUCUGUGAUUCUUAAAGAGCCCAUUAUCUUCCCUUUUGUCUGUUAUUUCUUGAGUAAUUGUUUCCACAGAAUUUGGUCUUGUAAUAUCUGAUAAGCACGAAUUUCAGACAAUUUUACAUUGAUAUAUGUUUUCUUGUAUUGACUAUUAACUUUCUAACCAGCUGAUGGAUUUUAGGUACAACUCCAAGCUGAGGCUCCAUUUUCUCACUGUCACAGAAAGGUUGAGGUUGGGCACCUCUGCAGAUCACCUAGUCCAACCUGCCUACUUACAGUAGGGUCAGUAAACACAGGGUGCUCAGGACUAAUCCAGUUGCAUUUUGAAUAUCUCCAAGGAUGGAAAUUCCAUAGCCCUUCUGGACAACAUAAUUUAGAAUUCAGUCAUCUUCUCAAAUAAACAAACAAAUCCAUAAAAACAAAAACAAAAGAAAACAACAAAAAAAAAACAACGAAAAACAGCAACUGCAAUGGUCCUGUUACAGGCUACCAAGGAUGAGAAUUUGGCUCCCUCACCUUUAUUACCUUGCUUCAGAUAUUAACACAUACUGAUGAAACCUGCCAUGAGUUUUCUCUUUGUAAUAAAAAGGCCCAGAUCUUUCAGCUCAUCCUCAUAUAUCAGGCACUCCAGGCCUUAGCCACCUUCAUGGCUCCUCAGUAGAUCUCCUCACCUGUAUCUCUUUUGUACUGGGGAACCCAGAACUGAACCCAGCACUCCAGAUGUGCCUCACCAGCACUAAAUAGAGAAAAAGAAUCAACCCUCUCCAAUUGCUUUUUCUAGUGCAGCUGGAAUGGGACAUUUAAUUAACUAACAUUUAGUUAACUUAUUUAAAUGUUGUAUCUUACUAACUGGUGUUGAAACCCAUAAACAUUUUUCUUCAAAAUCACAAUGGGGGCUCUGAAGGGUGACCAUUAAUAUGUUUAUAAUCAGCUGUAUUUUCUUCCCAAGGUGCUCCAUUAAAAGUUUCUAAAGGAUGUGUCCUUGCCAAAAGAGAAAUUAUAUAGCUUGCACUAUUCCAAUGAACUUUUCAUUAUAUUUUAAAUUCAUGGUGGACACUUUACCACACAUUGUAAAAGAACCACAUAUGGCUUUCAGGUUUUAGCUUUAAUGUUUAAUAUGAUGAUCUGACAGAGUUUUUAUUUCUCCAUCUGGCUUUUUAUUGACAUGCUGCUGGACAGAUACAUUUACCUUCAAUAGCCGUGAUGGUGGUCACAUUGGUUGUAAUGACAUGUCUUCCUUGCUGAAGGAAGGGAUGUUACAGAUACAGUUUAGAGAGACAGUUUGGAUUGGACACUGUGUAUAUAAAUUUCAAAUUGAUGGCUUCAAUCCUGACACAUAACACAUUUUUUCUUACACUAAAACAUUUCUUUAUUCUUCACAUAUCACUGUUAUUCCAUCACUUGGGAGUUCCUUACUGACCCAUUCAAGAUUGAAAACUGAAGUUACAUCAUAGUAGUAAGUUGUAUUAAAAAAAAAAAAAAAACAACUGAAAUGUUAUCUUUCUUCUCUGCCUACAACCAAUAUGGCAUGCAUUCUAUGUUUUGUGAAAUCUAUAUUGAUGGAUUAAAGAUUUUUCUUAUUUUGCUUUUAAUUUUAGUUUUUGAAAGAGAGUAGAAAAAAGGAAAUUCUGAGCCAAAUCUUGUCACUGUUUUACUGACAGCAUGAAUCUGUCUUCCUGCCCCAGAGGUUAAUAAGGAAAAAAAUUCUUAUCAAGCAUCAAAGAAAAUGCAGAAUUAUCACAACAGCAAGCAAUAUUCUUUCAUUCUCUAAUAAUAUUGCUACAGGAAACAAAUGUACCCAACUGAAUGGAUAAAUCCAUAAAUAAGAGCAGACUUUUUUUAGCUAAAGAGGAAACUGGAAAAUACUCUCUUUGUGGCUGUAGUCAAAUAGUAUUAGUAUUAACCAUUUUUACUAGAAUCCACAAUGGUUUUAGUGGUCCUAUGGCACUAUCAUUUAACAUAUUAUGGAGACUUGCAACGGGAAGCAUACCUUAACUGAAUAACUCAGUUUUAAGAAAAAAGGUAUACGAAACACUGCCAGACCCUAUUUUUGGUUUUAUUUCAUAGCUAGAAAGGUAGCAGAAAUUUUUAGAGCCCAAUAAAAGUCUCAGGCCCUUUAAGGAGGCCUUAGAGAGAAUGUAUUUCCUAAAUCCAAAAUGCUAUUGCUGAAAAAUCAUUCAGUUCCUGCUUACCAAUGAAUGGAAUUUCAUAAGAUAAGCACAAACCUUCCAAGUUUCCCAAAUGUCACAGUUGCUAUUUUGCACCUUCCUGAACGAGCACUGUAACCACUAUCCUGCUACUGGAAAAUAACAGGUUUCUUCUGGAAGCGUUGUAAAAGAAAUGAAUGUCCAAGGAUCAAGAAUAUACAUAGACUACUCCAAAAGUAAUGCCUCCUAUUUAUUUCCAUGGAAACGACAACAGCUACAAAAGCUCAAUAACAUUAUGUAAUGGAGAAAAUUCUCAGCUGCAAAACACUAUUUUUCAACAUAGAUACCAACAUUAGCUAUGCAUUUUUGCUAGCGAGAACCAGGAGCCUGCAUGCUGUGCUCAUAAAAAUCUGAACCAGUGGAGGUGACCCACUGUUUCACAGCUUUUAUGAAGGUCAUUGCGAGGAUAAUGUUACAAUCUGUCUUCUAUUGGCCAAAAUAUCUAGAAGUAAGAAGGCUCCAAAUCUGAACAGCGUAGUGGAUAUGGUAGAACAGUCCAGCCAACACUGGUAGCAUAUUCCACAGUCUUCAAACCAGUAUGGGGUUUGGUGCUAUUGUGUUUAAAAGAGGAAGAUUAUCUUCUUCUCUGGCCUGACUCUGGAAGCCUUUAGCUAAUCAGCAUGACAAUAUAGCAGUCAGAGUUGAUAGUUUGUCCAGGUUCCAGGAAAUCUAUAAGGAUCACCCUAUUUCUAUCCCAGCAGACAGUGCACAUCAGCAUACAUCAUUUUACCCACUGAGGGCUGCAUCUUGAACUUUGUCUUCCGUGAGGAAUUCACGUCACCUCUCCAUGUGGAAGCCUUUGCUACUGUGAUGGAGUUAUCCAAGACUCAGAGGAAUAGUACAAAUCAAUAUGCUGAGAGUUUUCUUAAAAGCAACUAAUACUCUACUUGUAGGUAAAAUUGGCUAAUUUGCUAGUUAUGAUUAAUAAGUGUUACAGGUAAGACAAUAUUAGGCAACGGCUACUACAGAGAGUAAAAGAAUAAAAGAAGAUAAAAAAAAUAAAAACUGGGGAAAUAGAGACAGACAGACAGAUAUACAAACACAGCAAAGCAAAGCGGUUCACCACUCCUUGAUCCAGCAGCAUCUUGGUGUCAGGUGCUGAUCUCCAGUAGUGGUGGGUCAUACAAGGUUGUGUUGGUCAGUUGACGACUAAAGACAACAGUACAAACUCUUACUUAUAAUCCAAAAUGGUCAAGCCAGCUCUUUUGGAGUGAUAGAUUCUGACUUCAAGGAUCUCAGCAGGAACUCCUUUGCUCCUGUCCUCCAGGCCUUGGAAAUUUAUAUCAGCAGAUAUGGGGAAGCAGCAAGACCCCAGCUUGUAUCUUGUCUUCACAGGAUACAGUGGUAUCAUCUCCAAGUCUCCUGUAUCAAGCUGGAACCAUUUGUUGCAGGACCAAGCCUUCAGCCAAUGAACAAUCCUGGGCCCUCCCAUUCAAAGGCAAAAAAUUCUUAAGGAUAUGCUUUCAAAUGUAAAAUUGUCCACAAAGUGAUGUUGAUUGUCCCGUGUUGAUUUGAGUCAUUCCUUAUCUGCCUCAGAUAGAUGCGAUCCAGGUAACUGUCACUUUCAGUGUCAUAUUGAUUCAAUAGGUCUUGAUAAACUCACAUACAGUGUUCUUUCAGUUCUAGUGUAAGCAUUUGCUCAACACACCUGGUACAAAUUUUGCAGUAUUCCAACACUGCCACCAUCUCUUGCCAUGCAAAUUGUUUGUUUUUCACACCAAACUGCUCCCCCAGAGUCUCUCCAAAGGGGCUGACCUCCUCCCUAGCACCUUCACCUUGGAUCAAGUGGAUAAAUGCUGGGGAGUCCCAUGCAGCCAGAGAGAAAAGUAACUCACUGAGAAUCUGUUUAUGUAUUCUCUGAAAUCUGAGUUUUUGCAUUUGCAAUGAAUCAUCUUAAUUCUCCAUUCACACAGGCUUUAAAAGAUCUGACUUGUUUUACUGUCAUAAAAAGCCUAAUAAACCUUCUUUUUGAUUCAAGGAUUUUAUUUCCCUUCUGAUUUCUCAUUUUAUAAAUGCUCUAUUAAUUUAACUUGAUUUCAGUUUGCUGACAUUUUGCUUCUCGGUUCCAUUUAGCAUCAAAGAAAACACUGAACAAGCUAUUAGGAGUUACUCUGAACUCUAAAUAAUGACUUUUUUUCUUAUCUUUUUUUUUUUUUAAGACCUAACUCUUCUAAUACAUAAAAUAAGCUAGGACUUUGCUUUGCUUUUACUUCUUUUACCUUGAAUGCAAAUGAAGCCUCUGAGAUCUUUUCCUUGAGAAUUGUGAUAUUUAACAUUGUUAUCACACCAAGAAAUAAACAAUUGUUUAAGGAAAUGGGUGAGAGUUGUUCUCAGUGCUACAGUACUGAGUCAGUCAUGCAGAACUAAUUUCCUGGCUGUCUCUGAAUGCACAUAAAGCUGCUCUGUAGCUGCUGCUGACAAUGAACUAGUGACUGGAAAAAGGAAUCUUAAACACAGUCACAUCUCUUGACUG